AGAAAAUAGUUCCACAGUUUUAGGCUUUCAAAUUAAUACAAAAAAUGAAAGGAAUAAUGUUGCUAACCGUUUGUUUUGUGUUAAAAUGCCUUAUAUGUAUGACAGAAGCAAACUGGUACGGAAAAAGAGACGAUUCUCAACUUAUUAGUCGAAUACUGUAUAACAGACAGCCGUUAACCAGGGAAGACGAUAGCGAGUUUAUAUCAAAAUUGGAAAAUUUAUUAAAAGACCUGAAAGAAAAAAGAAAUUUAUUUCCAGAGAAUAAUACAAUUUUCAAGAAAAGGAAAUGAAAUGAAUAAAGAAAUAGAAGCCCGCCUUAAUGGAGCUCAUGGAUAUUGUCUGUACAUUUCCGAAAACUUUACAUUUUGUAAUAAACUAUCAUGCAAUGUAUUAAUAGAUAUGCUCAUUUUAAAUUAUUGUGGAAAUAUGUAUUUUUAGGAAAAACUGAAGUAUGAAAUUAGGAAUAAAUUUAAACUGAUAAAGGCAACCAAACUAUGAAUAAAUGAAAUAUGCAUAUGACAAAUUUUACUGAAUAUAUGAAAUAAAGAAUAAUAAAAUAUUUCUUAAGAUACUUACUUUUAGAAAUUCUCGAACAACUUUUUUACGAAAAUGUUAGUGGCACUGUUGCGUCAAAUUAUCAUUUCAAUGUAUACAUACUUUUUUAGAAAAAAAAAAUA